rnacentral:lncRNA from 1 species
AGAAAGACAAUAAUAGUUCUUCUGGGUCUUUCAAUGGCAACAGCACCAAUAAUAGCAUCAAAUAAUUGAAUCUACCCAGGCUCUGUUCCUUCCGAUUGGAGCAUCUGUCUCUCUUUUAUUGUUGUUUUGCUUCUUUGACUGAGCUCAAGUAGUUUUCACAAUAUGUACAGCAGUUCUUACAAUGAUAACUUUUGCUUUUCUUCUUCUCCUGAUGUGCGAGUAUUUAACUAGACUCUAUUCACCUCAGAACAAGAUUUCCCUGGGUUCCCCUGGAUGUUUCACUGCUGCUGAGUUGUUGUUAUUAUCUCUGUCUGUCGUGCUCAUACUCACCUGGGUUCUCACUGGCCAUUGACUUCUCAUGGAUGCAAUGGCUGUGGGUCUCCGUCUCACUGUAAUUUUCUUUGUCUGCCUGUUGGGCUUCAAAGUCCCCUGCCUGCUUCUCUCAGGGCUUUUAAUCUAUGAUGUCUUUUAGGUAGUUUUCUCAGCCUACAUCUUUAAUAGCAGUGUCAUGGUGAAUGUGGCCAUGGCAGCUGGCCGAAAAUCCCCUUUACGUUCUAUCUCAGAAGCUCAGCCUGGGGCCUGGUGUUGGGCGUGAUGUUCCUCGCCUGUCUCUGCCUGGAAAACUGGUCUUCCCACGUUCUACUGGGAGCCACUUCCUCAUGUUGGGCAUUGGAGACAUUGUUAUGCCUGGUCAUCUGCUAUGCUUUGACCUUCACUAUGACAAUUACAAAAUCAAGCCCGUGGGGACUCCUGUGGUGGCCCUGGACCUGCCAACAUCUCUGGGCGCAUGCAGAAGGUCUUCUACUUUCACUGCACGCUCAUGGGAUACUUUGUAGAUCUGCUCACGGCUACUGUGGCCUCUCACAUUCACCAGGCCGCCCAGCCUGCCCUUCUCUGUUUGGUGCCAUUUACCUUAUUGCCACUCCUCAUGAUGGCCUAUUUAAAGGGUGACCUCCGGUGGAUGUGGUCUAAGCUAUUCCACUCCAAGACCAGUAGCUCCCAAUUCCUGGAAGUAUGA